rnacentral:rRNA from 1 species
ACUCCUACGGGAGGCAGCAGUGGGGAAUAUUGCACAAUGGGCGCAAGCCUGAUGCAGCCAUGCCGCGUGUAUGAAGAAGGCCUUCGGGUUGUAAAGUACUUUCAGCGGGGAGGAAGGCAAUACGGUUAAUAACCGUGUUGAUUGACGUUACCCGCAGAAGAAGCACCGGCUAACUCCGUGCCAGCAGCCGCGGUAAUACGGAGGGUGCAAGCGUUAAUCGGAAUUACUGGGCGUAAAGCGCACGCAGGCGGUCUGUCAAGUCGGAUGUGAAAUCCCCGGGCUCAACCUGGGAACUGCAUUCGAAACUGGCAGGCUUGAGUCUUGUAGAGGGGGGUAGAAUUCCAGGUGGAGCGGUGAAAUGCGUAGAGAUCUGGAGGAAUACCGGUGGCGAAGGCGGCCCCCUGGACAAAGACUGACGCUCAGGUGCGAAAGCGUGGGGAGCAAACAGGAUUAGAUACCCUAGUAGUCCC